UGAAAGUGGGAUAGCUUCUUCAUCCUAACUCCUAUGAGAUUUAUUCCACUUCCUAUUGAUUCUCCACUACUUUAUGUAUCAAAAUCAAGCUUUUUACAUGGGGAUUCUUCCUGUUUUGAUUAGAAUGACAAAGAAGUUGUCAUAUUCCCAAACAGGAAAACUGGGAUCACCUGAUUUGAAAGUGGGAUAGCUUCUUCAUCCUAACUCCUAUGAGAUUUAUUAA
rnacentral:lncRNA from 1 species